UUUGUUUUUGUUCCUGAUUUACAACAUCUGCAGUUCUUUCGGUUUUUAUUAAGUGAUUUUUCGGGAUGAAUUGACAACUUCAUAAGUGUCCUUUUCAUAUCAAAUAGUGUGAGGAGAGGAGGAAAAAUAACAUUUUUAAACCAAACUUGUUGCAAAGAAUUUUAUACAAUACAGUGUAUAAUAGUCACCUUUUCAUCUUACAUCUGUCUCUGACCAGAAAGUGCCAUUUAGUCAUUGCCAAAAGAAGGUGGAACAUGGAAAAGAGUAUUUGCCUGCCUGUUCAUUUUGUUUUUCAGUUCCUUUCAUGGUAGGCUGCUGGCUGCAUACAUUAUAUUCUGUUUUUACAUACUGCCUUGCUUAAUAUUAUUUCCCAGCCUUCUGUUUUGCAUCUCAAGAUCCUUUGAGGUUUUACACCCACAUAAAAACAAGCUUCUGUAGCACAUUUUCAGUCAAGAAAGUGCUGUUCUCCAUCAGAUAACAUCGGCAAAAGUGAUAAUAUUCUGUCAUCCUCCAGAAUGCUAAUAAAUAGAACUAGAAAAUCUUCCACUCUGUCUUUUGUUCAAAAUGUUCUGACUUAAAUAAAAUCUAGGUUUUUAUUCUUAUUUGGGGCAUCGAUUGCUAGAGUUCUGUAAAUGUAAAAGGAAUUGGGAGUCUUAAACUCUUUUAAAAACUCACCUGUCAGUAUGAAGAAUUUCUAUUAACUCGAAAAGUCUUUGGGAGGUUUUCUGGGGUUGUGGGGUGUGGAGAGAGGUGGGGAAUGUGCCAGGCCCAGUUCAAGGUAUAUUAACAAAUUAAGGGGAACAGGCCAGCAGGGGGUUUCUUACGGGUUGAAGGAGCUAAAAAUAAAUUGACAUCAGUAGAGACAUUAAAUAAAAGAGUCUUCAUCAGUCAUGUGUUCUCAGCUGUGGAAUAUAAAUGUUAUCCCUCAUGAUCCUCAGGUUAGUAUUUCAGCCUAGCCAGCCAUCAAAACUUACUGUUAAUUAGUUGAAACAGAGAAAAAGAAUAACAUCCUUGGUAGUAAAGUCUUGGCAAUAUUUUGAUAUUGAGCAAAAAAAAAUUGGGAUCCUUCAAUCAACCCUCAUCUUUUAAGCCACAUAUUGAGAGAUUGGAAGUCCUGAGCACAAAAACAAUUACACGUGUGAUACUUUCAAAUUAAUCCCUCUGCCAGAUGAAUAAGACUGAAAAUUCAAACUUUUUUUUCACAUACACACAAUGACACAAUAAGUACCAUCUGGAACAGUCUUACAUUACACUGGCCCAUUAACCACACCAUUCUACUCCUUGACAUAAGUUGAUCAAUUAAAACAUGUACUCCAUCAUGUUGGCAGUUUACAGUAAACCACAAGUAACAUUUACAGUUAGCUCCCUUACAGCAUUAAGGUGACACAGAGUUGCUUGUCACUUUUUUUCAAAUUCCACUCUGCCUCCUUUCUCCUGCUUCCUUUGACAGAAGUUUGACGCAUUUUUAUAAUCACAUUCCAAUAUAACUACUAAUCAAGAGAAAAAUUUCCACUGAAAGCAACAAAUGAACCAGAUGGAUACUCCAAUGGAUAGGCAUUUCAAGUCAAAACAAGUCACUGAGGCAAGAUAAUUCUGCCUGCUGAAGAAUUAGUCAUUAUUAGCAUGUAAUAUCAAUUGCACCCUAUGCAGGCCUUUCAAACAGCUGUUGAUUCAUUGAUUUCUUGUGUUUCACAAGAUUGCACCUGGCAAAUCCCCCAACUGAUGGCCCAGAGUUGACUUGUUCUUAAACAGUUAUAUCUCAACUGAUAUCUAGUCAAAGUUUAGACCAGGAAAAUUUCUUCCAUAAACAACUUUGUAAACUAUAUGAAAGUCCUGCAAUUUCAGUCAAAAAUCUCAUAUGCAGACAGCAACAACAAUAAAAGUUAUACUUAUAUAACACUUUGAAUAUAAUAAAACAUUGCAAGGCACUUCAAACGAGCAUUAAGCACCAAAAUUAGAUCCUGAAUAUAGAUAACAGCAAUAUAGAUAAAUUGUCUAAACCUUCGUCAUAAUGGUUUUAAGGAGAAUUUUAAAGGAUUAAAGAAGGGUAGAAAGGCAGAGAGGAGUAGGGAGGGAAUUCUAGAUUUUAGCUUAUUCGAAAAUCUUCCAAAUAUUGAAGAAGUUGUUGAAGUGACAGACAGCUUGUCUUCUACAUUUCCAGUAUGCGCUGGCUUAAUUGAAAGCCCAGCUGGUGAUAUGGGCCUUGUAAAUUUUACUCUUGAUGCAUGUGCAACAAUCACAAGCCAGUUUUUUACAGACAGUUUCACAAGCUAAUUACACAUCAUGUACAGCAGAAGUGUUUCCCAUGGAUUCAAGCGUGAGCCUGCAUAAAGCUCCUCUCACACCUCCAACUUUUUCUACUGUCCUACUGAAGGUGCUCACAAAUGCUGGGGUGCAAAUCCAACGUCACUGUAGUACCCUGUUACCUCCUCUGAAUGUUCUUCUGACAGAUAUUCACCAUGACCGCUAUCAGUUUGCACUGUUAGCGUCGCCCAAAGAUCUAAUCUCCUCCAGCCCCACAGACCUCAAAGAUAUCCAUGCUCCUCCAAUUCUGGCCUUUGUAGAAUCCACAGUUCUAAUUGCUCCACUACUGAUGGCCAUACCUUCAUGCAUCUAGUCUUACACUAUCAAAUUCUUUCCUAAAGCUUUUGACUGCCUUUUAUCGCGAGACAUCAAAUACCGUUUAAUAACGCUCCUUGACAAAUCUUGUUAUUGCUGUUGAACCAUAAGGGACAACAGAGUCAAACUGAUCGUGCUUUCCCCUGGUUGGCCAAUGCAUCCGAUCAGGAACAGGAAUCAUGGCUGAUGUUUCUUUUUUCCUAACCUAGAGGCACUAAGGUGGAAUGGAUACUCCUAACUGCUGCUCAGGCUAAUCUUGGUUUACCUUGCCCAGAUUUGAAUUCAAAAUUUUCAUCUCCCUGCAGAUUGGUUGAGCCAUCAGAAGAGAAAAUGUAAAUAAUUUUCAACAUAAUACACAAAAAUACUUCAGAUUAAUCUGUUGCAGAUUCUAUCUUAAUGAUGCAGUAUUGACAUUCCUAACAAGGUUAAUGAAUGACAUCACUAUGUUGAGAACUGUAAUAUCGAUUCUGACAUUUUUCCACUUAACUUCAAUAAAAAUAAAAGUUAAAAGAGAAGUACCAUGCGCUGUUGCUAUACUAUCACACAAAGUCAAAAAUCUACCACCUGAAUCUUAGAUGUAAUGAGCAGAAUUUUUACCAGAAUCAGUUUUGUGUCAAUUUAUGGCACGUUUCAUGGAAGGUUUCUCUCAGUGAGACAUAGCGAGAUUUCUCAUGUGAUUCUCAAAUGACUCAGUACCUGUGCACCACACUUCUGUGGCGCCCCACUCGUCCUAUCUUCCUUCCUGCCAGAGGUGAAAGUACUCGGUAUUGCCAGGAUUCCCUGCAUCACUUUUAAGGUGUUCCUUGCACCAGGUCAAGGGCUCCCAGCCACAAGCUGUCCUUCUUCAUGCAGGUAAUGGGAUGGGAACCAAAAAAGAACCUCUUUACAUUUUAGAACAAAGGUACACAACUUACCUGUCCUUUGCAUCUUGCCAUCUCAGAAUACUGCCUUUUUCUUUCAUUCACAGGAUGUGGGCGUUACAGGACAGGCCAGCAUUUAUUACCCAUCCAUAAUUGCCCAGGGGGUAGUUAAGUGUCAACCACAUUGCUGUGUGUCUGGAGUCACUUGUAAGCCAGACCAGGUAAGGAUGGCAGUUUCCUUCCGUAAUGGACAUGAAUGAACGAUGUGGGUUUUUCUAACUGUUAUUGUUAGACUCCUAAUUCCAGAUAUUCAUUGAAUUCAAACUCAGCCAUCUGCCAUGGCAGGAUUUAAACCUGGGUUUCCAGAACAUUACCAGGGUCAUCGGGUUAAUAGUCUAGCAAUAAUGCUACUGGGCCAUUACAUCCCUCAAUUAUGGUCACAUCUGUAUCCUAGAAUGCUGCCUUCAACCCCUACAAUGGACUUCACUAACUUCCCUAUCAUAACAGUGGCCCUAUUAAACCCUCCCUUGACUUUCAUUAAGCAGACUCCUGGGAAUCACAAAGGUCCCUGAUUGAUCUCUGUGCAGCUCCCCAACUGACGGACUGGGACUUCCGGGACUGGUUAACCUGGACCUGCAAUGCUGACGGCAGCCCAUUUCCCACACUAUAGAGGUAUGGACCCCCUGACGCUGAGCCCCAAGUGGCCGGAUGUGGCAAAUUGUCCUGGUACCAUGUCCAAGUCCCUGGACUAUUCACAAAUGAUGUAGUUGACUUGCUGUGCCAGGAUCCACUGACUGAAGACAGUCUCUCUAGGCCUGAUUGGUGACUAUUACUCCCCACAUGAGACAUGGCUAUUUGGUUGAAGGACAUGCAAUGUGUUUGCUGUAUACGCUGCUGGCACAUGAUACACACCGGUGAUGUGGCACAAUGCCAUACAGCACAUGUCCACCAUUUUAUUGAUUACUGCUGAUAACCAUGACAAACUGCUUGGCUUUGUGCUUGCACUAAACAGCAAAGAAAAACAGAAAUAUUGGGAGUCUUUUAGCUCUGGCUCAAGGGACAAAACGCAAACAGACAAGACAGAAGUACUGUGUGCUUCUAAGUAACGAGUACUAACAGAUGAUUCCUGGGACGUACUCUGGUCGACUCCAUGAGUUGGGUGCCUGUCCCUGUGUGCAAGUUGUCCUGGCAGCAGCAUUAUUAUAAUGGGUGCCGGUGGAGUCUGAAGUGUCAGAUUGAAGUACAGAAUUACAUUGUAAGUGGCUCAGAGAUGUGCCAUGAUGGCACAAUGAGGCUGGUACACAUCCAAUGCCAACGUCCAUGGUUGAGUGUACAGACAGUCACAAUCCAUGAAGCAUGUCCUGAGAUGUUGGUCACUGCUGUCCAAGCUGGAGGCCCAGAGCUGCACGCUGUGCGCUGAAGUCACCAAGUAUCACUUCUGAUCUACAUGCUGGGAACUGUCAGCAUUUCUGUCCACAGUUAGGGUUAGGGAGAUCUCACUCUCUGUGGGAAAUUGGGAGCCUGCAGUCUGAGGCAGGAUUAAUAAUAUAUGCAUGUUAAUGUAUGCACAUGAAUGCAAAAGACCUCUCACCUCUCAUUAGCAGGAUUCCCAUCUCGCCAGUCAAUAAUUGGUUGGAGAAUCAGACUUCUUUCUCUCAACGUCAAAAAUUUCAAGUCUCUUUACCGUAACCAAUUUUCCCAAUUGACUCGAGGAUGCCCACAUCAUUCAGGAGCUGGGAAGCUUCCUCCUGAAGUUUCUUCACUAGACAGCUCAAUGGGAGAGAGAUCUUGGAAAGGCAACAUUUUGAUUUAGAAAAGAAGUUCACUGGGGAAUGUUCAUGCUAAUAAGAACUGCGCUAUUUCUUUUAAUGAAUUUUCUACAUUCAGUUCCUUUUGUACAUCUAUGUUUUUUGUUUGUUUUCUAGUGGUCAGUGGCCAUUGAAUAGUGAGGCUCUUAGAACUAAUGCAAUGUAUCUAGCCUAAAAGGGAAGGAAGGUGACAUCAUCAGUGGACCCUCAGAUGAAGCGGUGUUCUUCUACUCCUCUCGGAAUUUACACUGUCCGGUCCAUUAUGAGGAAGUUGUUACCCAUCAGGAAAGGAGAAAAACCAAAGAUGUUGCCAGACCAGUGGCAGAUGUUGAUGAACAGUGGCAGAUGUUUAAAAAGAAGCUCAUGACUCAAAACAAAGACAUAUCCUGGAUCAUUUUCAGAUUUGUUAUGCUCCAGUGCCAGAUGUGCCAGAGCAAUGAAUGAGGUAUCUCCGCCGCACAAACGAGACUACCAGCAAACGAUGCCAUUUGCUGCUCUCACAACAUGAGCUUCACACCGCGUACCUGAGAACUUUAGCCUUUAUGCUGCAGAUCUCUUUCAGGCUACAGUAUGUGAUCAAUUCUCAGUUAUCCGUUGUAUCAAGGAAGUCACUGAGGCUCUCCAAAAUAGGAGAAACAUCCUCAUUUCCUUUCUUAUAGAGAGAAUGAUGCAAGAAACACCAUGCCUUCACAUGUCAAUCUGUCCCUGGAUAGAAGGUGCCAUAGACUGUACAUAAUUUGCCUUACUUGUUUCCUAUUACCAAUCUGGUAUCUCUACUGAUUGUAAGGGGUUGCACGCUCUCAACAUGAAGCUGACUUGUGACCACAGGCCAUAUGUCUGCACUGUCUGCGAAGCAUAGACUCACAGACUCACAGAGAUAUACAGCACAGAAACAGAUCCUUUCGUCCAACUCAUCCAUGCCAUCCAGAUAUCCUAAAUAAAUCUAGUCCCAUUUGCCAGCAUUUGGCCCAUAUCCCUCUAAACCCUUCCUAUUUGUGUAACUAUUGAGGUGCCUUUUAAAUGUUGUAAUUGUAGCAGCCUCCACUACUUCAUCUGGCAGCUCAUUCCAUACCUGCACCAUCCUCUGCGUGAAAAAGUUGUCCCUUAGGUCCUUUUUAAAUCCUUCCUCUCUCACCUUAAACCUAUACCCUCUAGUUUGGACUCACUCACACUGGGAGAAAGACCUGGCUUUUCACACUAUCCAUGCCCCUUAUGAUUUUAUAAAUCAUUAUAAGGUCACCCCUCAGCCUCUGAUGCUCAGGGAAAAUAGCUCCAGCCUCUCCCGGUAGCUCAAACCCUCCAACCCUGGCAAUAUCCUUGUAAAUCUGUUCUGAACCCUUUGGAGUUUCACAACAUCCUUCCUAUAGCAGGGAGAUGAGAAUUGCCUGCAGUAUUCCAAAAGUAGCCUAACCAAUGUCCUGUACAGCUGCAACAUAACCUCCCAACUACUAUACUAAAUGUACUGACCAAUAAAGGCAAGCAUACCAAAUGCCUUCUUCACUAUCCCAUCUACCUGCGACGCCACUUUCAAGGAACUAUGAACCUGCCCUCCAAGGUCUCUUUGCUCAGCAGCACUCCCCAGGAACUUACCAUAAAGUGUUUAAGUCCUGCUCUGAUUCGCCUUUCUGAAAUGCAGCACCUCACAUUUAUCCAAAUUAAACUCCAUCUGCCACUCCUCAGCCCAUUGGGAGAUCUGAUCAAGAUCCCGUUGUACUCUAAGGUAACAUUGUUUGCUGUCUGCUACACCUCCAAUUUUGGUGUCAUCUUCAAACUUACUUACCAUACCUCCUAUUUGACACAUUGGAGCUAGGGCAUCCAUAACCUUGCAAUUAAUAAAAUAUAUAUUUAUCUCAUGUUUCAUAAGGAAUUUGCCUCUUUACCAAUUGAUUUCUAAUGUAUGGAACAAGGACGUGUAUUUGAGCUUCAUGUCUUAAUCAGGAAUAUUGUACGAUAGAAGUGUUUAAGAAGUCGGUAAUUUGGAAUUGUAUGCAACACAUGUAUUUAUUUUAAUUUGACUCAUUCAAAACAACAGUAACGUGCAGUGAUACUUUAGUGGCAAACAAUCAGCAAAGAGAGUCAUAGAAUCAUAUAGCAUGGAAGUAGGUCCUUUGGCCUAACUCGUCCAUGCCAAAUAGGUUACCUGAACUGAACUAGUCCCAUUUACCUAUGUUUGGUCCAUAUCUCUCUAUAACUUUCCUAUUCCUGUAUCUGUCCAAAUGUCUUGUAAAUGUUAACUGUACCCGCCACAACCACUUCCUCUGGCACCUCGUACUUGACUUUAUUCUUGCUAUGAUAGUUUACCUGUGGCUCAGGUAUAACCACAAGAUUACUACCUUAGAGGUUCACCUUUUGAAUUUAGUACCUAACUGUUUGCACUCUUUCAGUAAAACCUCCUGUCUAGAGCCAACGUGAAUGACGCCAACUAGAUCCCUACUCUCCUGUUCCAAGUUCAUCUCCAGUCAUGAAGCAAUGUCCUUAAUCCUUGGCACUGGGCAGAUAACAUAGCCUUUGGAACUCAUGUUGACGUGUUAAAGAACAGCAUCUAUCACCCUAAUUAUACUGUCCUCUAGGAUUACUAUUACUACUCCAAUUUCCUCGGACAACUUAAAUGGAUCUCUAUACCACAGUGUCCUAUCAGUUCACUCAUCCUCCCCGCAGUGCCCACGCUUGUCCACACCCUCUGCAAGCACCUUGUAUCUGUUGAAAAAUUGCAGGGGCUGAUACUCCUCGAACCUUAUCUCUAGGUCCCUAUACCUGCCGCAGUUGUAGUCAUGCCCUCCUUUCCCUCAUCACAAAUCAAAUUUGAGUGACUACCUCUCAGAACGAGUGUUCAGGUGACGUUCCCCUCCCCUGGUGUGCUGCAAUGUCUGCAGUUCAUACUCCAACUCCUCGAGUCACAUCAAAAGGAUCUUUGUUAGGGCCUUAAUUAUUCAUAUUAUUUUUUAACAACUUGGAUAAAUGGUAUAGAAAGUCAUAUAUCCAAAUUUGCUGAUGACGUAAAGUUAGGCAGCAUUUUAGACAGUUCAGUUGAUAGCAUAAAAUUACAAAGGGCUAUUGACAGACUAUGUGAAUGGACAAAACUGUAGCAGAUGGAGUUCAAUGCAAGUUUGAUGCUAUCAAUUUUGGACCAAGAAAGGAUAGGUCAGGGUACAUUUCUAGAUGGUGUGAAGUUAAAUACAAUGAAUUUCCAAAAAGACUUUGGGGGGAUUCAGGUGCAUAGAUCUUUAAAAUGUCACUAAUAGAUGCAAAAAAUAAUCAAGAAAACUAAUGGAAUGCAGGUCUUUAUAUUUAGAGAACCGGAGUACAAAGAUGCAGAAGUUGUGCUGCAAUUAGACCCACUUGAAGUAAUGUGAGCAUCAAGUUUCCAAGAAGAAUGCAGUUUCUCUGUUGUAGGCUGUCAUAACUACGUCAGACCAUGAUGUUAUAUUUAUUUAUUCUUUCACAGAGUGGUCACCUCUAGAUAGGCCAUCAUGCAUUGCCAAUUCCUAAUUGCCCUAGAAAUAAGUUGGUAGUGAGCUUUUCUGAAUGUGCUGCAAAUCAUGUGGUGUCUAUACACCAUAGUGCUGGCAGGAAGGUUGCUUAGGAAACAGUGAUGUAAAGACAAUACCACUGGGCCAGCAAUCCAAAAAAUCUAGGCUAAUAUUCUAGGAUUAUGGGUUCAAAUUCUACCAUUAAUUGAGCCAAUCAAUCUAGAAUUAAAAGCCAGUCUCAGUAAAGGUGACUGUGAAGCCAUUGUUGAGUCAUUAAUAUCCUUUCUCAUCUACAUGUGACUCCAGACCCACAACAAUGUAGUUGAUCUUAACCUGACCUAGCAGGCAUUUCCGCUUCAUCAAAAUUGUUGCAGAAAACUCGACAGCAUCACAAUAAUUACCUCCCUGUAAGGCAAGAACAACCAGUCAGAUGGCUGUCAAGGUCAACAACAUCUCCAAAUGAGUAAGAAUGGUAGGGAGUUGGAAUCAAGCUAAAAAUGGGAGACAAAUAUAAAGGAAACAAAGAAGUUAGCAAGGAAGGAAGUAAAUGUGGAAACUAGAAAGUAACAUGAUACCCCUGACAGUCCAGAGUCAAUGCAAAUAAAACUAACUGAAAAGAAAUUUCAAGUGCCAGCUUUGAAAUUUUGAAUGAAUUUGAUCAGGUCAAGUACUUCUUCAAAUUAGACAAACCAGUUAGUACCCAAAUGCAUUUAUGGCCAUGAUGGGGACAUGAUGUCCAGAUCUUAAAACAUUAUAUUGAGUGUUCCUAUAGGCAAAAACCUGGGUGGAAUCAAUCAUAUCCAGGGUCAUGUAUUUUUGGCAAGAGGAUCUGUGAAGUUCUUCAGUAUUCAACAGCAUAUAGACAAUGAAGAUAUUAUGUAAUGAAAAACAGUCAAAAUACUAACAAUACUAACAACAAACCACUGAGAGGUAGGCAAACUUGACAGUGCACCAAGAACUGGAUAGUCAUCUUGUUUUGUAAACCUGCUCCAGCGACGAUAGCUAAAUAAUCAGGAGAAUUGUAUACAAUAAUAUUUUCAUAAGCAUUAGCAUAAGUUAUACUUGACUAGCAAAUAAGAAUGUAAUGUGUAUUUUAUAGUACAAGUUAUGGCAUGUCAUGUACCAAAAAGAAUCUUUAAUAUAUCAAACCAACAUCAAAUAUUUGUAUAACAGAAAGAUUACAACAUCAACAUUACAACAUCACCGAAACUGAAAGAUUUUUUUCAUUCAAAACAUUAUUAUGCAUAUUUAGACAAUGGGACUGAUUAGCCAGUGAACCAUUCACAUCGAGUAAAUUUUUACCCACCCUCCACAUUGUUUCAAUCUGAUAGAAUUAGCUUGAACUGGUAUGAAAUGGCGUGGGAGAAUCCACGAGAAUAGUACUUUUUUCCUAAAGCUGACACAACCCUGAGCAACUUAGUAGGAAGGUUUUUCCAGCCACAAAUAAGCGCUUAUUUGAGUUGUGCUCUGUAAAUAAAGUCAUUUGUAAUGUUUGCUCAAGAUUAAGACAUAAGUUUAAAUUGUCCAAAUAGCCAGCAACUGUUACAACAGAGGGAAACAGAGCUUCUGUGAGCAAAGGCUCAUGUAUUAACUAUGAUCCUGCAUUCAUGUGGGGAAUAUGAGUGGUGUGCUUAAGGGCUUUGCCCUCCAGAAGCAAGAAGGUUAAAAGUUUAAAAAAUUGGUACUUGCAUGGAUAGAACACAAUAUCAUGUUUGACAUUUCAAAUUAUUGCAUUCACUGGCCAGAAUUCUAUUUUUAUGUCGAGGGUUUCAUCAGCAGGCUGUCUGUAGAAUCCAUGGUAAAUUUACUGGACGGCAGUGGGCAGUUAACUAAUUAGUUAUUAUCGAGGCUGCCACUCUGUUAAGGAUAGUCACCCAACCCAAGAGCUGUAGGUCAGUUGAAAGGCCAGCAGCUUAGCAGUCUCAGUUGUGCUACCAGGUGCAGAAGUGAAACUCCUUCACGGGCUAAAGAGACUGGACAGUACCAGUCCUAAGUCCACUGAGACACCACCAGGGUUUACUUGUCAAUCUCCCUCUAAGAGUUUACUCGCUGCUGAUUAAAUGCUAGCAGUGGUAGGAACUAGCCAUUAAUUGGUCACGAGUCACUUAAGUGGCUUGUGGGUGCAGCUACUGCAAAAUGGUAUGGUGGUGAGAAGGCAAUGGGCACUUUUCCCCCUGCCUUCCUGUGUCAUUUUACAGCACCCCUGUCUCCCAACACAUAGACAACGGUAUGGUAAAAUCCAUUCCCCUGAGUUACUGUCAAAGUACAGUGAAGGUUGACAUGACUGUUCUAGUGUAUUCUUACCCCACACUUAUCACGCAGACCUGCAAGCUCUGAAAACUCACACUGAAAACAAUUAACUGAUGUAUAUUAAUGAUGUAAAUCUUGGUGUACAGGGGACAAUUUCAAUGUUUGCAGAUGAUACAAAACUUGGAAGAAUUUGUAAACUUAGGAGGAUAGUGUGGAACUCAAAAAGGACAUAGACAAUUUGAUGGAGUAGGCAGAUGAGGUUCAAAGAGAGAAGUAUGAGGUGAUGUAUUUUGGUAAGAAGGUAUUGAAAGACAAUAAAAAAUGGAGGACACAGUUCUAAAUGGAGUGCAGGAGUAGAUGGACCUGGGUAUACAUGUGCAUUGAUCAUUGAAGAUGUUAGGACAGGUGUAGAGAACAGUAAGUAAAGCAAGCAAAAAAUUCAGCUUUAUUAAUAAAGGAAAGAUUAUAAGAGCAAGGAGGUAAUAUUGAACUUGUAUAAGAUACUUGUCACACCUCAUUUGGACUAUUGUGUACUGUGUGUUGAGCUCUCUGUACCACAUUACAGGAAGGAUGUGAACGCAUUGCAGAGAGUACAGAAGCAGUUUACAAGAAUGAUUCUGUUAUGAGCAUAGAUUGGAGAAGCUGGAACUGUUCUCCUCGGAGAGAAGAGUUUUCAAAAUCAUGGAUAGAGUAGAAAGGGAGAAACUAUUCCUGCUUGUAAAAUGAACAAGAAUGAGAGGGCAUAUAUUUAAAGUGAUUUGCAAAAGAAGCAAGGGUGGAAAUAAAAGCUUUUUACACUCAACAAAUGGUUAUGGUGUGAAAUACAUUGCCUGGAAAUAUAGUGGAGGCACUUGAGCCAUUCAAGAGGGGAUUGGACAAUUAUUUGGAUGAAAUAAUGUUUGAGGAUACAGGGAAGAAAAGCAGAUUUGCUUUAAAUAAUGAUGCUCUCUUCAAAGAGCUGGUGCAAGCACAAUGGGACAAAUAACCUCCAGUGUGCCUUAAGACUUCUAUGAUUCUGCGACAUACUAGCCAAAACCAAAUUCACAGAGUUUGACCUAACUUUAUUCUUCAAAGUUAGAAUAGUUUUUGAUCAUUUAUUGGUGGUGUUCAGAUAAAAUCAAUCCUUUAAAAUUCAGAUUUAAUGGACAUUGAUAAGUCUUCAGCAAAAAUGAAUUGCUGUCAGAUAUGGAUGUUUCAAUAGGCCUUCCACCUCCUUCACCAAGAUCCCUUGUGGGACAAUGGGAAAUGUUUUUGCUUGAGUAGUCUGCUGUACAAGGUGUUUGAUUCUGAAAGGGUUAAUGUAUUAAGCUUUAUCCAAAAUGAUGAUGUCAUAAGAUUUGUGGGUGGGAGAAGAGAUCUGGUUCUCAAAGAAUAUUGACCUUCCAUUUAGGUCUUCUCAAAAUCUUAGUAACAAUGUCAAUCAUACCAAUGUAACUUGUACUUGAUUGUUAUUAUGAAAUAAACUACAAAUGCCUUUUCUCAUUUGAUACUAGAGGUUUUCCCCCACAACAUUAGAUAAAUUAAACUCUGUACAAGCCAAACUAAAUGAUGACCAAGAGUACAACUCAUACAACAUGAACAGCAGCAGUAAGAAUUCAUCAUACAACAUGACGCCAGUGGUGGCCAUUGCCUGAUCUCAAAACCCUCUCCCGUGGUCACAGUGUGGAGCUGGAGGAACACAGCAGGUCAGGCAGCAUCAGAGGUGUAGGAAAGUUAACGUUUCUGGUCGGGACCCUUUUUCCGACUCCAGCAUCAGCAGUUCUUACUAUCUCUGACUCUCCCGUGGUCAAUCUCUUUUUCUUCACUGUAUAACACUUUUCUGAAUGAUAUUGGCAGCUCCAGCAGCCAGAAUACUCAUUUCCCUCCGGGACAACUUUACAUACAACUGGCAAAUAACAAUAUUGAGAUUCUACUGAUGCAUAUAGCCAAUGAGCAUUAGGGGCAUGAAAUGAUCAUUGCAAUUAGACAGGAUGGAAUGCUGUCUGUGCUGCUUGAAUGGAUGGAGGAGUUGGGGGAAGAGUGUUUGAUAAUGAUGCAUCUUGACUCUUGUGCCCUUUUCUAGCAGUUAUACAAUUUCGAUGUCCUCAUACCCCAGCACGCCCACCUCCACAACAGUCCCCUUUCUUGGGGAGGGAAAGCACAGGAACAACCAUGUAUCACCAAAGAAAUCAUGCUUAAGAUCUAUGCAGUACCUUUUUAUGAAACAGUGGUGCAUGAUAUAUAUCACUGUAUCAAUAGGUGUAAAACAUAAAAAUUACUCUUCCAAUAUUUAUUUAUAAAGAUAGUGCGUUCUUAAAAUAGAAUAUUACAAGUUCACCAUAAUAAUCUUCCCAACUUUCUGUUAGAGGUUGUUGCAGGUGGCUCCACCUUUGUUUAAUUCUAGUUCUAGGUAAUAUCACACCUCCAUGUAUUUAUUGGAGCAUAGGACGGCCUGUACAGUAGAUUACCUGUUUGCAUCGAUAACAAUGAGCAUCCAAUAAAUUGAAACACAGUUAAAAUGGAAUAUGUUCUACCUUAACAUAUAAUACCAUGUGUUAAGUAAUGAUAACUUACACUUAUUAGAGAAACAUCGUAAUUUCCAGCUGUGCAAUUUCUAAUGUAAUGGAUACCAUCAUUAAGCAACAUUAAAAAAUAAUUAUAAAAAUAAAUGCAACAGCCUUGGGCACAAAAUAAACUUUGCAUGAAAUUACAAUUUCA